rnacentral:rRNA from 1 species
AACGCUGGCGGCAGGCUUAACACAUGCAAGUCGAGCGGGGAGAUGUAGCUUGCUACAUUUCCUAGCGGCGGACGGGUGAGUAAUGCUUAGGAAUCUGCCUAUUAGUGGGGGACAACAUUCCGAAAGGAAUGCUAAUACCGCAUACGCCCUACGGGGGAAAGCAGGGGAUCUUCGGACCUUGCGCUAAUAGAUGAGCCUAAGUCAGAUUAGCUAGUUGGUGGGGUAAAGGCCUACCAAGGCGACGAUCUGUAGCGGGUCUGAGAGGAUGAUCCGCCACACUGGGACUGAGACACGGCCCAGACUCCUACGGGAGGCAGCAGUGGGGAAUAUUGGACAAUGGGCGAAAGCCUGAUCCAGCCAUGCCGCGUGUGUGAAGAAGGCCUUUUGGUUGUAAAGCACUUUAAGCGAGGAGGAGGCUACUUAGAUUAAUACUCUAGGAUAGUGGACGUUACUCGCAGAAUAAGCACCGGCUAACUCUGUGCCAGCAGCCGCGGUAAUACAGAGGGUGCGAGCGUUAAUCGGAUUUACUGGGCGUAAAGCGUGCGUAGGCGGCUUUUUAAGUCGGAUGUGAAAUCCCUGAGCUUAACUUAGAAUUGCAUUCGAUACUGGGAAGCUAGAGUAUGGGAGAGGAUGGUAGAAUUCCAGGUGUAGCGGUGAAAUGCGUAGAGAUCUG